GGCGCCUGCUGGGAAGUGAAGUUCUCAAACUGUCAAUGUUUCUAGAGAGAACGCGGAGAGCUCGGAAGGGGAUUCAUUCAUCAUUACAACAAACUUCUGGCUGGUGCACCAGAACUACAGAACUGUAAAGGGACUCUGCACACGAAUUGUCUCGGUUAUCCCUCUUGGGUAAGGACCUUUUACUUCAUUGACAUGCGCUCACAUUGUGCCGGCUCAAGGUCAGUGAUCAUUAAAUGUUGAAUUUAACUAGUAAUAGACAUUCUAUUCAUAUU
rnacentral:lncRNA from 1 species